rnacentral:rRNA from 1 species
GACGAACGCUGGCGGCGUGCUUAACACAUGCAAGUCGAACGGAAAGGCCCUGCUUUUGUGGGGUGCUCGAGUGGCGAACGGGUGAGUAACACGUGAGUAACCUGCCCUUGACUUUGGGAUAACUUCAGGAAACUGGGGCUAAUACCGGAUAGGAGCUCCUGCUGCAUGGUGGGGGUUGGAAAGUUUCGGCGGUUGGGGAUGGACUCGCGGCUUAUCAGCUUGUUGGUGGGGUAGUGGCUUACCAAGGCUUUGACGGGUAGCCGGCCUGAGAGGGUGACCGGCCACAUUGGGACUGAGAUGCGGCCCAGACUCCUACGGGAGGCAGCAGUGGGGAAUAUUACACAAUGGGCGGAAGCCUGAUGCAGCAACGCCGCGUGCGGGAUGACGGCCUUCGGGUUGUAAUCCGCUUUCGCCUGUGACGAAGCGUGAGUGACGGUAAUGGGUAAAGAAGCUCCGGCUAACUACGUG